rnacentral:rRNA from 1 species
AGAGUUUGAUCAUGGCUCAGAACGAACGCUGGCGGCGCGUUUUAAGCAUGCAAGUCGAGCGGUAGGGAGGUGCUUGCACUUCCUGAGAGCGGCGAACGGGUGAGUAACGCGUAGGUGAUCUACCUUUCGGUUGGGGAUAGCCCAUGGAAACAUGGGGUAAUACCGAAUGAGUUCCUUUUGCUUUGGUGGAAGGAGGAAAGAGGCUUUGGCCUCGCCGAGAGAUGAGCCUGCGUCUGAUUAGCUAGUUGGUGUGGUAAAGGCGCACCAAGGCGACGAUCAGUAGCCGGCCUGAGAGGGUGACCGGCCACAUUGGGACUGAGACACGGCCCAGACUCCUACGGGAGGCAGCAGCUAAGAAUCUUCCGCAAUGGGCGCAAGCCUGACGGAGCGACGCCGCGUGGACGAAGAAGGCCGAGAGGUUGUAAAGUCCUUUUCUCACUGAAGAAUAACCUUCAUAGGGAAUGAUGGGGGGAUGACGUUAGGUGAGGAAUAAGCUCCGGCCAAUUACGUGCCAGCAGCCGCGGUAACACGUAAGGAGCGAGCGUUGUUCGGAAUUAUUGGGCGUAAAGGGCUCGUAGGCGGUUUUGUAAGUCUGGCGUGAAAUAGUGAGGCUCAACCUCACGCACGCGCCGGAAACUGCAGGGCUGGAAUCUUGGAGGGGGUACUGGAAUUCCUGGUGUAGGGGUGAAAUCUGUUGAUAUCAGGAAGAACACCUGAGGCGAAGGCGAGUACCUGGCCAAAGAUUGACGCUGAUGAGCGAAAGCGUAGGGAGCGAACAGGAUUAGAUACCCUGGUAGUCUACGCCGUAAACGAUGUGCACUUGAUGGUGGUGCCGUGCGGUAUCACUGUCGUAGCUAACGCGUUAAGUGCACCGCCUGGGGAGUAUGCCGGCAACGGUGAAACUCAAAGGAAUUGACGGGGGCCCGCACAAGCGGUGGAGCAUGUGGUUUAAUUCGAUGAUACGCGAGGAACCUUACCAGGGCUUGACAUGAGCGUGGCGUUCGUGGAGACACGGGUUUCCCUUCGGGGACGCGCUUACAGGUGCUGCAUGGCUGUCGUC